rnacentral:ncRNA from 24 species
UAACCACAAGGAGAUGGCGUUCUCCUUUAAGCGCCUCCUUCAAAAGAGGCUGAUAACGCCUACAAGCUC